AUUGAACGCUGGCGGCAUGCCUUACACAUGCAAGUCGAACGGAUUCAAGAGGCUUGCUUCUUGAGUUAGUGGCGAACGGGUGAGUAAAGCAUCGGAACGUACCCAGUUGUGGGGGAUUACGUAGCGAAAGUUACGCUAAUACCGCAUACGCACUGAGGUGGAAAGCGGGGGACCGAAAGGCCUCGCGCAAUUGGAGCGGCCGAUGUCGGAUUAGCUAGUUGGUGAGGUAAAGGCUCACCAAGGCGACGAUCCGUAGCUGGUCUGAGAGGACGACCAGCCACACUGGAACUGAGACACGGUCCAGACUCCUACGGGAGGCAGCAGUGGGGAAUUUUGGACAAUGGGCGAAAGCCUGAUCCAGCCAUGCCGCGUGAGUGAAGAAGGCCUUCGGGUUGUAAAGCUCUUUCAGACGGAAAUAAAUCUUUCGGGUGAAUAUCCCGGAAGGAUGACGGUACCGUAAGAAGAAGCACCGGCUAACUACGUGCCAGCCGCCGCGGUAA
rnacentral:rRNA from 1 species